rnacentral:lncRNA from 1 species
CCCAGAAGAUUGAUCCGAGGAGCCAGCUGAUGCGGCCUGAGGACAGCAGACUGGUUGUGGGCACGUGGCAGAGAGCAACUAUCAAGGUACUGGAGAAGGCGGCUCCAAGACUAGUAUUUCUUCCUGUCAUCCUCAAACGCAAUAAAAGAGACUGGGAAUAGAAAAAAAUAAAAAUUUUUUAAAAAAAAAGGAAGGAAUCGAUGUGGAAAGAAAAUGGAGGCUUUGACUGAAAUCCACAAGAAGAGUCUGUAACCCUGCAAAACUUGCCUCAUGCUGGCAUCACUAAGAAAAGCUAUUGUACUCCAGUUCAUAGACUCAAUUUCAGAAGUAAUCACUGAUGACAGCAAGCCAAUUUACAAGAGUACAGCUGACAAUGCAGGAUCCAGGAGGUAGAACCUGUGAGCAACACAGGAGCAUCAGCUUGCUCAACCAAGCUUUUCCCUACACGAGAUCAAAAUUCCCUGCUGUCACAGCUGUGUGCUGCUCACUCUGUUCAGUGUGA